rnacentral:lncRNA from 1 species
AGUUAUUAACAGUGCAGUUAAUAACGGCAGACUCCCACAUGAGGAUACAAUAUACUGCAUACAAACAUUGAACACAAAGGCGUAACCCCAGCAAAGUACCACAUCUUCUGUUAUAAAGGGAAACAGGACAACAUAUUUGGCAUUUUUGCUGGCUUACCUACUGAGAAACCCGAUACAGUUCUUAGUGGACUCUUCUUAAAGGAAAGCAGAAGGUCACUGUAAGACAGCCAACACUGCUCCUCCCUCAGGACAGCACACCCAUCUUCAAGCCAGGGAAGCCGUACCGCAUUCGAGAAAGGCUGCCGUGCAGAAAUUCAGCUGCAACAAUACAGACACAGGAAAGAUCCUCAGAGAUUUCAUCUGGUGAGUGAAGUGAGUCUGAGGGAUUGUACUGUUGAAGUAGAUGAUUUGUAAGCAUUUGUUAUUGACAUAAGGCUCACUUUUUAUUUAUUUUACAGAACAUGCAAUGCUAAACAGCUGGCCAAAGGCAUCAUUUUUCUCCCCUUUCUCAUCCCUCAAGAUUGCUGAACCAAUGGCAUCAGCCAGGGAAGGAAGAAGCCCCAAGCACAGAAAUAGCAGGUGCCCCCUCUUUUUUUUGUGGUAAGUAAGGAUUUAUUGCACUUUUGUUUUAAGCUGGAGGCAGACAGGUAUCCCCUUCAACUACAAGAGCUUUAGCUUCCUACCCAUUCCAUUUUAGCACAGAUAUUCUUAGGCAUCCCCGUUCCCACAUGUAGAACAGAGCCUUUCCACCCACAGUAGAAACCAUCUUUACAAGAAGCCGUCACCAGCCAGUAGUUCUUCCAGAGAAAGGACCCCUCAGCACCCACUUAGACCCCGCAGAGGCUGACUCCAGUACCAGUAUUUCAGGGGCAUACCUCAAAAGCAGAGGAACAGCAUUAGACCUAGAAGCUCCCCAUAGCUUCUUGCUGAAGGGAAACUGUAAAGCAAGAGGAAGACCUCUCUCAAACAGGAGACCUGGUUUUCCCACUAUUACAAAGUCACCCAUUUUUAAGUUUCAAGUCUCCCAUCCACUAAUUCAACCCAGUGCACUUUGAGAGGCAUGCUCUUUAGUAUUAUGCCUUAUCCCCACAAGGAGACAUCUUCAUUUUUAUAAACACAACACCAAGUUGGCCUUGUUAGAGACCUGUCACAACAGGGAGAGGUCAUCAGCAUUUCCCUCCUUUAAUUUUCCCAUUUGUCUGAGUUUUUCCCCUCCAAGAGCAGCAUGCUAAAGUCAGAGAGCAGAGCAGCAGCUGCCCUCCUUCCUGAGGGUCUCAGUCUACUUAGGCUGCUACAGUAUCCAUCCUGCAUAGCUAGAGAUGGUAUGCCUGUGGUGUGAGGGAGUAAACAUGACCUCCAGCCACUUCCCUCAACCCCCCCAGGGUGCAGUCCACGACUACAGAGCACAAGCAACCUCUUAAGUCACAACAAGAGGAGUUGGUUCCAAGGGAGCUUACCUGAGCUUUGAAGAACCACACUAAAAACUUUUUUC